CCUACGGGUGGCAGCAGUGAGGAAUAUUGGUCAAUGGGCGAGAGCCUGAACCAGCCAAGUAGCGUGAAGGAUGAAGGUCCUACGGAUUGUAAACUUCUUUUAUACGGGAAUAAAGUUUCCUACGUGUAGGAUUUUGUAUGUACCGUAUGAAUAAGCAUCGGCUAACUCCGUGCCAGCAGCCGCGGUAAUACGGAGGAUGCGAGCGUUAUCCGGAUUUAUUGGGUUUAAAGGGAGCGCAGACGGGUCGUUAAGUCAGCUGUGAAAGUUUGGGGCUCAACCUUAAAAUUGCAGUUGAUACUGGCGUCCUUGAGUGCGGUUGAGGUGUGCGGAAUUCGUGGUGUAGCGGUGAAAUGCUUAGAUAUCACGAAGAACUCCGAUUGCGAAGGCAGCUUGCUAAACUGUAACUGACGUUCAUGCUCGAAAG
rnacentral:rRNA from 1 species